ensembl:lncRNA novel transcript
AAGAGCCAAGGUCUUUACGAGCAGAGAGAACAGAUUGAGCUUCUAGAAGUAAGGAGAGAUGUGGGAUGUUUACAUUUUGCUGAACGAAGAAAAGAAUGGGCCAACUGUCCUUUGUAUUAAAAAAAUGACAUACUUUGGACCCAAUAGCUGUCUUCUUUUAGUUUUUCUUCAGUAGUCAGGGUGGAUUUGUACUGAGCCAUCCUCAUAAUCUUACUUAAGCCAAAGUCUCCCUUAGUGUGGUGACUCACUGAACUGAGGUUAGGACUUAGUCAGUGGCCUGAGCUAGAGCAGCAGCUAUAGCUGCUUAAACAGUUUUUCUCUGUAUAUGUCAACCUUCUACAUUAGCUUUGUUAAUAUUGGUUUCUAACCAAACAAACUGUCUGUCCCAGCUCAAAUGACACAGUGUUGUUUGCAAAUUUUUAUUCGUAGAUACCUAAACAUAUAUUAAGAGGCAUAUUGGUACAAUUAUUCAAUGCACAUGGCCACACCCAUGUGUGUCUGUGUGUGUGUGUGUGUGUGUGUGUGUGUGUGUGUAUGUGUGUAUGGUUUAUGUGUUCAUUGGUACAAUGCUUAGUGCCACUCAUGAUGUUAGUAGAAUCGUUAGCUAUGGAAGGGAAUUAGCUAAGUAUAUCCAUUCUAUCAUGUGGCUUUUCCAUCCAUCUACAAGGGCCUCUGAGUCUUCUAACAGAUCAUCUGGCCUCUGCUGGCAAUUAUGGGAAGAAAGAAUGGAGGAUACAUGGGAGGAUUUUGUGGUUCAGGGCUAGAAGUAGUUCAUGUUAAUUCUACCCACAUUUCAAUGUCCAGACUAUCACACUGCAAGUAAGUGUCUUAGAAAUAUAGUGGAGCUUGUUUUAUUAAAGGAAAGGAAACAGAUUUUGGUGAACACAUUGCAGUCUCUGCCAUGCCAGUUUGUCUGAAAAUGGAGUUUGGAAUUUUUUUUGUUUCAUUUUUAUUUUAUAUGAUUUCUAAAAGGAGAAAUAGCAAGAUAUUGAAAUAAUGUUUCCUCGAUGUACAUAUUAAAAGCCUAUAGAAUAAUGGAUAACAGAAUGAACUUUGAUGUCAGAAAGACUUAGAUUCAAGUUCCAGUCCUUGUACCUCUAGCUGUGUGACUUUAAGCCAGUUGUGUAAUGGGGGCCUCAAAAUGUUGUUGUGAAGAGUCAAUGAAAACGUUAGUGUAAACUUCUUUAUCUUGGAGCUGGCAGUAUUAUGAUUAGUAAUAAUAGUAGCAGCAUAUUGGCAAGCAAAACAUAGAUUGGUCCGUGAGGAGUCAGAGGCAUGAGAAGUAGAUACAGUUAAGACCCAUGUGGGCUGAGAUAUGCAAGGGCACGUUCAGAUUAGCAAUUACAGAGGAUAAUGGCUUUCAGUAAACCUUUAGGAUAUUGGCCAGUAUAGUAGGUUUUCUUUUAGCCUUGGGGGUGGUGUAGUUAUCUCAUGCAAUCUUGUUUAGGCCUUACUGUUGAGCUUUAAGUUCUAGAAAAUCUCUAGAAUUGCUGCUGUUUGAUGCUGGGCCCUGUCUCUACCUAUGCCACUCCAUGAGAUCUCUCUGGGCAGUAAUAUUUUCAAUUCAACGUUUUUUUCCUACCUGAUCAAUACGUAUCAAGUCACAUACUAUUAACUAUCAUACCAUCAUACCGUAUCCCUUCCCUUCUCAACCUCUGUCCAUGGAGUCAUAUCUCCAAGAAACCUGUCUUAAUUAGUUCCAUGCUUAUUCUUCUUUCUCAUUGGCUCAUAAAAUAUUGUUCAGUUGACUUUGUAAUUAUAUAUUUUUCAGCUCUUUGAGAGGGUCAGUAAACUUUUGUCUUGCAUUUAUGUGUUUGGACAAUAAUUAGAUGGUCAGAUUCUGAGAAGUAUGGACAAAAAAGCUUUCCAUAUUUUCUUCAUGUCCCCUCUAAAGUACCUAAAAUUGACUUUUCACACAGCAGUCAUUCAGGGAAAGUUGAAUGAUUAACUGCCAUUUCGUUAUAUCCCUAGUGUACUGCCAGAUUCUUCAAGUAAAGCUGCAAAAACAGUCCUUGUACUUUCUGCUGCCUCUCUAGAGAAGGGAGAACUGAUAACAGCUGAGAGUUUGCUGGAGAAUUUCUCAGGCCCCUAGAAAAUAGUGCCUGUUUUGAACACAUGGCUGAAUAGUGCUUUGGAAGAUGGACAGAUUUUUGGGGGGUACCAGAGGGCUUUGCAAAUGAGCAACAUUGUAUAUGUGUGACGUCACUGUCUGGGCCAGGAUCCACAAGGGGUCAUAGGAAAUAUUGAGAAUUGGCUUCCAUAGCAGUAAACCAAUUCUGUUCUGCUUGAGUUGUUCUAAGAAAUAGAGCAAUAGGACUUGGCAUUCGUGUAAGUGGAAGGAUUUGAAAGCCACGAGGCAGUAAGUGAUUGAGGUUAAAGCCAUUAGAGGAAUGGUGUUUAACACAUUGUUAAUUGGGUAAUGGGGAAGAAGGUAACUGGGCAGUCCAGAGAGACACAAUGCUUUGAACAGAAGGAAGGAAUUUGGCCUGCACUAAGUUGUGUGGUAAAAAGCUGUAUAUUUCUCUUUUGUGCAAUGCAUCAUCUCUCACUAAAUAGAUUGACAAGUAGUCAUCUUGGAUCUAUUCAGGCCAGCAGAGCAGUAGAGAGGUUCUUGGAGAAGUGUCACUGUAGAUAAAAGAGAAACCCUAUGUAUUGUCCUUUGCAAACUAAGUUGCCAUUCUUUACCACUGUAACUGCCAUUCAGCAGACAUUUACUGAGGAAAUGCUGAUUCUAUACUAUGCUCUGUUUGAGGUGAUGAGAAUUCAGCAGUGAAAAAAGGCAGUGGCUUCUGACCCCUAAAAAGAAGACACAUAAAUGGCUGACCACCACAUAUCACAGUAUGAGAUGUUUCUCUUGAAGGGAGGAGAGUUUGUGGCACUAAGAGGGAUCUCCGUACCAUGCUAUUAUAUGUAGACCCACUCUGACAGGUGGAGCCUCAGAGUAUACACGUUGGACAUUGCAUUCCACAAUCCUGCCAAUAAGUCAAAAGUGGCCGUCAGCCUAACACUUGGGCCCUGUAGAAGAAACUUCUGUCCAAAGCUACCCUAUAGUUGGCUGCCUGGCUUCAGAGCUUUUUUUGAACUUGGAAGACUUCAAGCCCCAACUGAGGAAUCCUUGAUGCUCUGUUGUUUUGUCUUGCUAAAAUGUACAAGAAACUUGCACAGCUCUGUCCUUCAGGCUUAAAAUCAUCCCAGGGAGGUCACUCUAAUUCCUUUUAAUGUGUGCUGAAGAAAGGGCAGCACAGCUGAAGCCUGAUUUAAAAUCUGAUCUUCUCCCUAAUGUCACAAGGACAUCCUGAGACAAUGGCUGAGGAGCUAUGCACCAGUACCCAGCUGGAUCCCUGAUACUUACAUUGGCAGAUGCAUUAUCAACAGAGACAUCGAUUUAGAGUGAAUUAAAGGAAUUACAAAGAUCAAGAUGAAUUCAGUGAAGCUUCCCAUAGGACUGUUCAAAGAUCUCCAGGCCUGCCAUUCAUGCAUUCAUGUGAGAGAGACACUUUGGGCCUAAGAAAUGAAGGCCAAUUCAUGUGGAGUCAGUCCUCUUAUAACCACAGUAGGAUAGAACUUGUUUCUGAGACCUUCAGAAGGACUAAGCCCUAGGCAAACAGCCCCAGUGAAGUCAGCUCUAAGGACAUAUUGAGGUAAGAACUAGGGAAAAUUCAUGUUUUAUUUCCCUAUUGCUUUUAAAAUCCAAUUUAAAAUGUAUUACCUAUCAAGAGAGAAUUCUCUAUAAUUUCGUGAAAAUGAUUUAUAUGGCUCCGGAUAUGUAUUUUUUUGUCCCCCUUUUCCCCUCCCAUUUACUCCUUCAGCCACAGGUAAAUACUUUUUGCCAUGACCUCUCUCUCUGUGAAAUCAAACUAAUAUGCUAACUUUUGUUUGCUUUUCUUGUGCAACACUGCUGAUGAGAAACAUUUUGUCCUCCUUCGUCUAUUUCUGUUAUAUUAUUUUAAGACCUGUCAUUAUAAUAAAAAAUAUCUUAAUGCUGAUAAUGACAUUGAUGAUGGUUAUGAUGACUUCAAGCUCUGCCCUAGACAAUUAACUCCAUAAAGGCAGGAACUGUAUCUAUCUUCUUUAGCAUUUCAUAAGGCAAACCCAACAGUGUCCCUGACUUGCAGCAAGUACUCAAGAAAAAUAUUUGUUAAAUGAAUGAAAAUGCUAGCAGAGACCAUUGGCUGAAAGUUUGCUAAUAUAAUCUUUAUAUUUUAUAAUCUUUGUAUUUUAUAUUUUUACAACCAUCUUUGGAAACAGGUAUUUAUUAUGCCGAUUUUGCAAAUGAGAACACUAUCUUCAAUGGAAGGAUAACCACAUCUACAUUUGAAGUGUAGUUAGAGGGAUGCUCCUCAAGCUUUAAUAUAUAUUUGAAUCACCUGAGGAAUCUUAAUAAAAUGCAAAUUCCUAUUCAGUAGUUCUGAGUUGAGGCCCAAGUUUCUGCAUUUCUUACAAGCUCCCAGGUGAUGCCCACACGGCUGUUCUGAGUGAGCCAGCACUCUGAGUAGCAACAUUCCCUUAGAAUUACCUGCAGAUGAGUAUGUAAAAUUCAAAUUAUUGGUCUACACAGAUAUACUAAAUCAUAAUCAUAGUUCGGGAAAUGAGAAUCAGCUACCUACAGUACAAGCAAUCUGGUAAUUAUUAUGAAAAUUAAAUGAGUAAAGUGUGUGUUAAGUGCUUUAUAAACCAAAAGUAGUAUGUAAAUAUUAGAAUAACAUUUUUAUUUUAUAAUUGUUACUAUUAUUAUUGUUUGAUGGUGACACAAAUUUGAUUUCUGUACCACUCCAAGCA